UGUUCCUCUUGGCGUGUCUGUAACUCGAAAGAAGGAGGAUGAAGCCUCCGUUGGCAGUGCCCCUUUGGCAAGGCAGCAGUCGAAUCAAGCGUCCGAGUAUGCCAGCAGCCCUGUCAAAACAAAAACAGUAACAGAAUCUCGGCCUUUGUCACUCCCCGUGAAAACCAUGCUGAACUCAUCUGAAAGCUGCAGAAGUCCUGAAGAAAGAAUGAAGGAAUUUAUUGGAAUAGUAUGGAAUGCAGUUAAGCGCCUUACACUUCAGCUUGAAGUGCAAUCGUGCUGUGUUUUCAUUCCCAACGACAGCCUGCCUUCGCCAAGCACUAUUGUGUCCGGCGACAUUCC